GAUGAGCGCUGGCGGUGUGCCUAACACAUGCAAGUCGAACGCAUUUAGUUGCGUGGCAGACGGGUGAGUACAAGCAAGGAACGUGCCCUUACGUCGGGGAUAGCCCACCGAAAGGUGGUGUAAUACCCGAUACAUCUACGGAUGAAAGGUUUUUCGCGUAAGGAGCGGCCUUGCCCCCAUCAGCUAGUUGGUAAGGUAAUGGCUUACCAAGGCUAUGACGGGUAACUGGCGUGAGAGCGCGACCAGUCACAAUGGGACUGAGACACGGCCCAUACUCCUACGGGAGGCAGCAGUUGGGAAUAUUGGACAAUGGGCGAAAGCCUGAUCCAGCGACACCGCGUGGGGGAUGAAGGCCUUCGGGUUGUAAACUCCUUUUCCUUGGGAAAAUUAUGAUUGUACCAGGGGAAUAAGCACCGGCUAACUACGUGCCAGAAGCCUCGGUGAUACGUAGGGUGCAAGCGCUAUCCGGAAUUAUUGGGCGUAAAGAGCUCGUAGGUGGUUUUGUUCGUUUCGUGUUAAAUUUUCAGGCUCAACUUGGAAUCUGCACGAAAGACAGCAAGACUGGAGUCCAGCAGGGGUCAGCGGAAUUGGCGGUGUAGCAGUGAAAUGCGUUGAUAUCGCCAAGAACACCAAUGGCGAAGGCAGCUGACUAGGUUGGUACUGACACUCAAGAGCGAAAGCGUGGGGAGCGAACAGGAUUAGAUACCCUGGUAGUCCACGCCGUAAACGUUGCAGACUAGGUAUUCGGAGUAUCGACCCUUUGUGUACCGAAGCAAACGCGUUAAGUCUGCCGCCUGGGAAGUACGGUCGCAAGACUAAAACUCAAAUGAAUUGACGGGGGCUCGCACAAGCGGUGGAGCAUGUGGUUUAAUUCGACGCUAACCGAGAAACCUUACCAGGACUUGACAUCUCCGGAACCCUGCAGAAAUGCGGGGGUGCCUUCGGGAACCGGAUGACAGGUGAUGCACGGUCGUCGUCAGUUCGUGUUGUGAAAUGUACCCUUAAGUGGGCAAACGAACGAAACCCUCGUCCUGUGUUGUAUUUCACGGGAGACUGCCUCGAUCAACGGGGAGGAAGGCGGGGAUGACGCCAGAUCAGCGUGUCUCUUACGUCCUGGGCUACACACGUGCUACAAUGGCGACCACAGCGGGUAGCAAUGCGGUAACGCGGAGCUAAUCCCCAAAAGUCGUCUCAGUUCGGAUUGAGGGCUGCAACUCGCCCUCAUGAAGCCGGAAUCGCUAGUAAACGCAUAUCAGCUAUGGUGCGUUGAAUACGUUCUCGAGCCUUGUACACACCGCCCGUCAAGUGAGCCGAGUUGGCAACACCCGAAGACCCAGUUUUAUUACAGGGGCCACGGUGGGGUCAGUAAGGAGCACU
rnacentral:rRNA from 1 species